rnacentral:rRNA from 1 species
AUUGAACGCUAGCGGGAUGCCUUACACAUGCAAGUCGAACGGAGUGGCGAACGGGUGAGUAAUGGAUCGGAACGUGCCUAGUAGCGGUGGAUAACUACGCGAAAGCGUAGCUAAUACCGCAUACUAUUGGACCGGCCGAUAUCGGAUUAGCUAGUUGGUGGGGUAACGGCGAACCAAGGCGACGAUCCGUAACUGGUUUGAGAGGGUGACCAGCCACACUGGGACUGAGACACGGCCCAGACGCCAACGGGAGGAAGCAGUGGGGAAUGUUGGACAAUGGGGGAAAGCCUGAUCCAGACAUCCCGCGUGUGCGAUGAAGGCCUUCGGGUUGUAAAGCACUUUAAGCAGGAAGGCGGUACCUGAAGAAUAAGCACCGGCUAACUACGUGCCAGCAGCCGCGGUAAUAC